CAUGAAGCUGGAGUUACUAGUAAUCGCAGAUCAGAAUGCUGCGGUGAAUGCGUUCCCGGGUCUUGUACACACCGCCCGUCACACCACGGAAGUUGGGGGCGCCCGAAGCCACUUAGCUAACCCAUUUGGGAAGCGAGUGUCGAAGGUGAAAUCAAUAACUGGGGUGAAGUCGUAACAAGGUAUC
rnacentral:rRNA from 1 species